rnacentral:lncRNA from 1 species
CGGGAUUUCCCCAGGGGAGUUUUUCCCACAUACACACACUCCCUUGUUCUCUACCCUCUGGGGACUUUCAGAGGCUGGCCUGGAUCGGGUGGUGUCCACCUCUGGGUCAGUGUCUGACAGCCCCACCUCUCUUUCUCUCCCCUGUGGUAACCCUGAUUGGGCCCUGCCUCUCUAGGAGCUGUGUGCAAAUUCUGCCUUCCCCGGGAGUCUGAGCUGUACCAGAAAGAGGUGAGGGGGUGGGAGGGACCACCAAGCAGGGACAGGGCAGGGACCGGCCCCCCAGGCCUUCGUGGGCCAAACGGCUGCCUUCUGUCCUCAGGUGGCGCACCUGGGCGCCCUUGAGGAGCGGUUCUCCCGCCUCUGGACGCAAUGCCAGCGCUGCCAGGGCAGUCUGCAUGAGGACGUGCUCUGUACCAGCCGAGAUUGUCCCAUCUUCUACAUGCGGAAGAAGGUACAGAAGGAUCUGGACGACCAGGAGCAGCUCCUGGCUCGAUUCGGGCCCCCGGGCCCGGCCACCUGGUGACAGAGGACGCGGCUGUGGACGUUGGCAUCAAUAAAGCUGUGGGGCUUUGGG